rnacentral:rRNA from 1 species
ACUCCUACGGGAGGCAGCAGUGGGGAAUAUUGCACAAUGGGGGAAACCCUGAUGCAGCCAUGCCGCGUGUGUGAAGAAGGCCUUCGGGUUGUAAAGCACUUUCAGUAGGGAGGAAGGUAGUGUAGUUAACACCUGCAUUAUUUGACGUUACCUACAGAAGAAGCACCGGCUAACUCCGUGCCAGCAGCCGCGGUAAUACGGAGGGUGCGAGCGUUAAUCGGAAUUACUGGGCGUAAAGCGCAUGCAGGCGGCCUGUUAAGUCAGAUGUGAAAAGCCCGGGGCUUAACCUCGGAAUUGCAUUUGAAACUGGCAGGCUAGAGUCUUGUAGAGGGGGGUAGAAUUUCAGGUGUAGCGGUGAAAUGCGUAGAGAUCUGAAGGAAUACCAGUGGCGAAAGGCGGCCCCCUGGACAAAGACUGACGCUCAGAUGCGAAAGCGUGGGGAGCAAACAGGAUUAGAUACCCUGGUAGGAUAGCG